ensembl:misc_RNA Metazoa_SRP Metazoan signal recognition particle RNA
GCCGGGCGCGGUGGCACGUGCCUGUAGUCUCAGCUACUCGGGAGGCUGAGGCUGGAGGAUCGCUUGAGUCCAGGAGUUCUGGGCUGUAGUGCGCUAUGCCGAUCGGGUGUCCGCACUAAGUUCGGCAUCAAUAUGGUGACCUCCCGGGAGCAGGGGACCACCAGGUUGCCUAAGGAGGGGUGAACCGGCCCAGGUCGGAAACGGAGCAGGUCAAAACUCCCGUGCUGAUCAAAUAAUAGCUAACUUUCAGUAAACAUUUACUAUGUGCUAGCUACUAGUCUAGUUGACUUAU